rnacentral:lncRNA from 1 species
CACACAAGGAGAUCACUGGACCUCUGGAACACAAAAUGCUAUGUCUUCUCAUUUUACCCAAGGUGCUUCAUCAGAACAUGGCAGAAAAUGUUCAUGCCAAAAUCUGACAAAGGAAAGGAACAGUAUUUGUGGCCAUGACAACUUACACUUCAAAAAAGAAUGGGAAAAUGUGGGAAAUCUGGGAAAUCUAAGAAUGAGAUCAACCCAUGUUUCAGUUCAUCACUUGAAAAAUAUUAAAUAUAAAAUUGGAUUAAAUUUUGAAGUAUCCAUUUUGGUAGACAAUAAAUUUAAAGGUGAAGAGUAAAUUCCUAAAUGUGAUCAGUUUGGUUCUUUCAUGAAAGGUUUAUUCUGUAAUC